GAAUCUUCCGCAAUGGACGAAAGUCUGACGGAGCAACGCCGCGUGAGUGAAGAAGGUUUUCGGAUCGUAAAGCUCUGUUGCCAGGGAAGAACGCUUGGGAGAGUAACUGCUCUCAAGGUGACGGUACCUGAGAAGAAAGCCCCGGCUAACUACGUGCCAGCAGCCGCGGUAAUACGUAGGGGGCAAGCGUUGUCCGGAAUUAUUGGGCGUAAAGCGCGCGCAGGCGGCUGACUAAGUCUGGUGUUUAAGCCCGGGGCUCAACCCCGGUACGCACGGGAGACUGGUCGGCUUGAGUGCAGGAGAGGAAAGUGGAAUUCCACGUGUAGCGGUGAAAUGCGUAGAGAUGUGGAGGAACACCAGUGGCGAAGGCGGCUUUCUGGCCUGUAACUGACGCUGAGGCGCGAAAGCGUGGGGAGCAAAC
rnacentral:rRNA from 1 species